AGUGAACGCUGGCGGUAGGCCUAACACAUGCAAGUCGAACGGCAGCACAGUAAGGGCUUGCUCUUACGGGUGGCGAGUGGCGGACGGGUGAGGAAUACAUCGGAAUCUACUUUUUCGUGGGGGAUAACGUAGGGAAACUUACGCUAAUACCGCAUACGACCUACGGGUGAAAGCAGGGGAUCUUCGGACCUUGCGCGAUUGAAUGAGCCGAUGUCGGAUUAGCUAGUUGGCGGGGUAAAGGCCCACCAAGGCAACGAUCCGUAGCUGGUCUGAGAGGAUGAUCAGCCACACUGGAACUGAGACACGGUCCAGACUCCUACGGGAGGCAGCAGUGGGGAAUAUUGGACAAUGGGCGCAAGCCUGAUCCAGCCAUACCGCGUGGGUGAAGAAGGCCUUCGGGUUGUAAAGCCCUUUUGUUGGGAAAGAAAAGCAGCAGGUUAAUACCCCGCUGUUCUGACGGUACCCAAAGAAUAAGCACCGGCCAACUUCGUG
rnacentral:rRNA from 1 species